UCACUGUCAUCGUAGAGCCACGACACCAGUUUAGGAUGGCUCGUGUCGAGAUGUUCUCGCGCAGCAUCAGGCUGACAGAUAUGCUGUCUAGAAGACUUGUGUCCAGGCAAGCCUUACGGUCCGUGUGGACUGGGAGAGAGAGCCUUGAAGAGGAUGACCCUGAGGUGAUGGCCAUCAUAAAACAGGAGAAAAAGAGACAGCUUCAUGGUCUGGAACUGAUCGCUUCAGAGAAUUUUGCGAGUCGAGCUGUCAUAGAGGCUUUAGGAUCUUGUCUGACAAAUAAAUAUUCUGAAGGUUAUCCAGGUGCUAGGUACUAUGGAGGGAAUUUAUUUAUUGAUAAGAUAGAGAGUCUCUGUCAGACGAGAGCUCUGGAGGCGUUCCGGCUGGACCCUCACCUGUGGGGGGUCAAUGUCCAGCCCUACUCCGGGAGUCCAGCCAACUUCGAGGCCUUCACUGCCCUACUGAAGCCACACGACAGAAUCAUGGGUUUGGAUCUACCCGAUGGUGGACAUUUGACCCAUGGAUUCAUGACUGACACGAAAAGGAUUUCAGCUACCUCAGUAUUCUUCGAAUCCAUGCCAUACAGACUUAAUCCCCAAACAGGUUACAUUGACUACGACAAACUCAGGGACACUGCUCAUCUAUUCCGUCCAAAGCUUAUCAUUGCUGGAACCACUGCCUACUCUAGAUUGCUGGACUAUAAAGCUUACAGAGAAAUUUGUGAUGAGGUGAAUGCCUACAUGUUAGCAGAUAUGGCCCACGUAUCAGGGCUGGUGGCGGCCAAUGUUAUUCCUAGUCCUUUUGAUUAUGCUGAUGUUGUAACAUCUACAACUCACAAAACGCUGAGGGGACCAAGGUCUGGGAUGAUAUUUUAUCGCAAAGGCAAAAAAGGUGUGGACAAGAAAGGAAAUGACAUCAUGUAUGACUUGGAGAAGAAGAUCAACAAUGCUGUGUUCCCUGCUCUACAGGGAGGGCCCCACGAGCACCAGAUAGGGGCACUGGCUGUGGCCCUCAAACAGGCAAAGUCCCCAGAAUUCAGAGAAUAUCAACAACAGGUCUUAAAGAAUGCCAAAGUGAUGGCUAAAGCCCUGCUUGACAAAGGAUAUAAUGUUGUGUCUGGGGGUACUGAUAACCACCUGGUACUGGUGGAUCUAAAGUCUAAGGGAACGGAUGGUGCUCGAGUGGAGCGGAUCCUGGAACUGUGUGAGAUUUCUGUCAACAAGAACACUUGUGCCGGAGACAAGAGUCCAAUGACCCCAGGAGGACUCAGAAUUGGUGCACCUGCUAUGACUUCACGUGGAAUGAAAGAAAAGGACUUUGAGAAGAUUGUAGAAUUUUUAGACCAUGGAGUUCAGAUUGGAAUCAAUGCCAAAAAGUAUUCAAAGACCUUGAAGGAGUUCAGACAUGUAGUGAUAGCCAAUGAAGAUCUUCAAGCUCAGAUUGACAGGGUACGAGCAGAGGUUACAGAAUUCGCCAGUCAAUUCCCAAUGCCAGGACUAGAUGACCGCUAGGACUAAAUAAACGCCAAGUCAUGUGAUACUACCCAAUAAACCAAAUAUGGACAUCGAGAAGUGCUUUAAAACCCUUGAUAUAAGAAUACAUUUAAAAUUCAAAGCCUAUUUUUUGAUUGUGUGCAGUAUGAAUUUUUAAAAAAUUGAUUAUUCACUAUAUAUAGCGGAAUUUUAGCCCCGUUUUAUUUUUGCCAUUAUCGACUCUAUUUUCAAUGGGCAAAUUCAGACAUGACGGCAUUAUAUUUCAUUAAUACAACUAGUACUGUUUCUGGGAGAAUUUAAAACAGUAUAAAAUUUAUUGCAAUAGGGUAGGACAAAAGUAUCGCCUAAUGGAGUCGGUUAAUUUUUUUAAAUCAAAAUUUUGAAUUACAUUGAUGCUACUUCUGGUUUGUAUUGAGGUGAAAGGAGGCUAUUAGAAUAUAAAUUUUAGUGUGCUUUUCUUUGGUUGGUUGUUUUAUAAAACUGUCAGAUAUAAAAUUAUUCAUUCUGAUAUUUUAAAGAAUCUCUAGGGUUGGAUCUGAGAUUUUAGAAGAUUUGUGUUAUACUUGAAAGAUUAUGCAUUGCAUUUAUAGUUUCUUUCUUGUGUGGUACACAAGUUUUUAGAAUAUUGUAAUUAUUUGAGGAGUUUUUUUAGUGAGGAAAUAUUUUUUUUUUGGAAUAUUGUAAUGGUGUACUGAUUGAUUUUAACUGGCAAAUUCAGGUAUCAGAAAAUUAGUCACAAAGUAUUAUGAAAAUAGAAGACAAUGAAUGAUAUUAUUAAAUUACUGAUUUAGCCAGAAUGUCAUAUAAUGUGCAUAUCAGUAUUGUUUACAAUAUAUAAACUUUUCCAAUAUUCUUGUUGUGUAUUUCAUGUACAUUAUGUAUCAACAACAGGAUCUAACCUCACAAUAAUUCAUCAUGGGAUACUUUUGUUUAAAUGUAAUAUCCAGGUGCCAAAUUGAAUCUUUUUGAAUUGAUUACAAUGCCUGUAGGAGAAUAUGUUGGAAACUGUUACUUCUAACCAUAGGCAUUGUUUGCAGCCACGUUGCAAAUGCAUUGAUCUUUCUUUUUUUCUAGACUAGCCUUGACAUAAUUUUUUAAACAUGCUUUGUACUCUAUUUUUUGUUAGAUUCAUUUUAGAUGAAAUGAAAAUCAAAGUGGAGAAUUUUAUCAAUUAAAAACCUUUAAUAUUGAAUUAGAUUGGACUUUAGAUAUGUGCAAAAAUAUGAAAACAAAGGAAACGGGAUAAAACAACUGGAGAGAUAUAGAAGCCCCUGGUCAUUUCUAGUUUUGGAUGAAGAUAGAUUUCUGUUUGAAUUUUUAUUUGAAACACAGGUGCAGGAAAGUGUGCAUGCAGAUGUCAUUUUAAUUUUUUUUUCUUAGUGGUACACUGUUCUUUGUUUAUGUAAUAAGUACAUGCAUAAUUAAUUAAAUGCACGUUUAAGUAAAAUUAGAUGAUAGUAUUAGAUUUCAUGUAAUAUCACAAUGAAAAUGAAAAGUAUGCAAGUAAUUGUGCCAUAGUUGGUUUUGUGUUUUUCACUUUCUGUAAAACUAUUUUAUGUGUUUUUUUUCCUCUCUUCGUUUUGCUUCUUGUUAAUCUCAACAUAGUUUUUUUUCACUAUCUAUUAAAUCUGAGUUUUAUUCUUAUUUUGUUAAAUGGGUGGUGUUCUUGUAUUUGAUUUGCUAGCGUUCUAGACUAAUUGUGUUCUAGAUGUUUUUUAUAAUUUCUUCUUGGUUUUGCUUAUUUGGUCAGGGUGAUUUUGUUGUGCAUAAAAUUCGUUUUUAGCAAAAUGUUUUGUCUUGAAAAAAAGUGCUCUUGAAUAUGUAUAUAUGUAUACGCAUGUGAAUCUCCAAUAUUCAUGUUUCAUGCAUUUGAAAUGUUUGGCCUUUAUGUUUUAUUGAAAUAAAAAGUUGAAGGUUGGCUUUAUAUGUUUA